rnacentral:rRNA from 1 species
UACGAAGGGGGCUAGCGUUGUUCGGAAUUACUGGGCGUAAAGCGUGCGCAGGCGGCUUCUCAAGUCAGGGGUGAAAUCCUGGAGCUCAACUCCAGAACUGCCUUUGAUACUGAAGAUCUUGAGUCCGGGAGAGGUGAGUGGAACUGCGAGUGUAGAGGUGAAAUUCGUAGAUAUUCGCAAGAACACCAGUGGCGAAGGCGGCUCACUGGCCCGGUACUGACGCUGAGGCACGAAAGCGUGGGGAGCAAACAGG